CUGAGCCAGCAUGAGAGCACAUUCAUACAGUCAACGGCCAUCAAAUAAGACAGGAAUAAGAGAUUAAGCCUGAGGAAAGGAGUGUGAAGCAGCAUGCAGUCGGACAAACCAUUUCAAUGUUCAACUUGAGAGCAAAAUACGACAUUAAGAGUUAUGAACUUCACAUUUGUUUGUUGCAGUCAGAGCAGCAUUUAUUGAGUCAAUUGUUGACACAGAUUGGUGUUUACAGGGUUAUGUGCUACACAAAUGCAGAAUAUAAAGUGUGUUGUCGUUGGCGACGCGGCUGUAGAAAAAACAGCAUUAUUAUUCAGCUACACCACCGGUAAAUGUCAGGAUGGUUAUGUCCCCACUGUGUUUGAUAAAUUGUCUGUCGAUUUGGUGGUUGAUGGGAAUGCAGUGGCUCUGGGACUGUGGGAUACAGCAGGACAGGAGGAUUAUACCAUACUUCGUCCACUUUCCUACCCUAAUACGGAUGUGUUUUUGGUCUGUUUUUCUUGUGUGGGUCCGCAGUCAUUUGAGAAUGUCAGUGAAAAGUGGCUUCCAGAGGUCAGACAUCAUUGCCCAAACACUCCGAUAGUUCUAGUCGGGACUAAACUUGAUCUGAAAAAUGACAAGGAGACCAUUGAACAUCUGAAAGAGAAGAAACAAACCCCCAUCUCUUUCCACCGAGGCCUGGCUAAAGCUGAAGAAAUAGGAGCUGUGAAGUAUCUGGAGUGCUCAGCGAAGACACUGAAGGGUGUUAAAACAGUGUUUGAUGAAGCCAUCCGUGCAGUUCUAAACCCACAAGAGGAGAAUAUAAGAAAGAGAAAGUGUUUAAUCUCCUGAACUGACUGAAUACAAACAGAAUGAGUUUUA